GAUGAGCGCUGGCGGCGUGCCUAAUACAUGCAAGUCGAGCGAACAGAUGAGGAGCUUGCUCCUCUGACGUUAGCGGCGGACGGGUGAGUAACACGUGGAUAACCUACCUAUAAGACUGGGAUAACUUCGGGAAACCGGAGCUAUACCGGAUAAUAUAUUGAACCGCAUGGUUCAAUAGUGAAAGACGGUUUUGCUGUCACUUAUAGAUGGAUCCGCGCCGCAUUAGCUAGUUGGUAAGGUAACGGCUUACCAAGGCAACGAUGCGUAGCCGACCUGAGAGGGUGAUCGGCCACACUGGAACUGAGACACGGUCCAGACUCCUACGGGAGGCAGCAGUAGGGAAUCUUCCGCAAUGGGCGAAAGCUUGACGGAGCAACGCCGCGUGAGUGAUGAAGGUCUUCGGAUCGUAAAACUCUGUUAUUAGGGAAGAACAAAUGUGUAAGUAACUAUGCACGUCUUGACGGUACCUAAUCAGAAAGCCACGGCUAACUACGUG
rnacentral:rRNA from 1 species